AUAAUGGGAUUGUUAGAGACAUCAAAGGCCCAUUGAAGGAAAACUCUUUUCUUCUGGUUAUGGGAGUGAAAUCUAUGGCCUGAGUGAGACCUAAUGUUGCAGCUGGAGUGGAAGGAUGAUGGAUAUCCACAAGGAAGAUGCUACCUCAGACUCAGUAGAGCUUCAUCAUUAAUGAGUAAUUUAUGG
rnacentral:lncRNA from 14 species